rnacentral:tRNA from 1 species
GGGGAUUUAGCUCAGCGGCACAGAGCCUGCCUUGAAAGCAGGCAGUUGUCAGUUCAAUCCCCG